UUCGGGUCCGGGUAAAAUGCCCAGGCCAAAGGAUAACUAUUUACGAUGUUAUAAUGUGUCUGAGUAGAAUUUUCUUUUUCUUAUAGUUAAUGAAUUGUGUACUAGAUCAAAUUACGGGUUGCAGAAUGGAAAUAAAAAAAUGUUCGAAAAGAAUGGAAAGAAAAUAGGCCUAAAGAUAUAAACCUAAGCUGCAAUAAAGAAAAUGAAAUAAUUGAAUGCAAAGGGA
rnacentral:lncRNA from 1 species